AUGGACUGUUCUUUGCCAUUUGGGGGAAAUGUUGUCGUCUUUGGUGGGGAUUUCAGGCAGGUCCUUCCCGUUGUGACACGUGGGACAAGAGCACAGAUCACGGAUGCUACACUUCUGAGAUCCUAUCUGUGGGAGAAGACCCGGAAGAUACGCCUCACGCGCAAUAUGCGAGCACAUGCUGAUCCUUGGUUCUCCGAAUACCUCCUAGGGAUCGACAAUGGAACAGAAGAGACAAUUGGCGACGACUAUGUGCGUCUCCCUGACGACAUUGUGAUCGGCUAUACCGAGGAUGAGAAAGCUAUUAACACACUCAUCGACAAUGUCUUCCCAUUGUUGCAUGCCAAUGCUAGAUCAAGAGAGUAUAUGAGCACACGUGCUAUUCUUUCCACCAAGAACGAUCAUGUCGAUGACCUGAAUGACAAGAUGAUCUCCAGGUUUCCAGGCGAAGAAAAGUUAUACCAUAGCUUCGACUCAAACGAGGAUGACUUGCAGAAUAAUUACACGAUUGAUUUUCUAAACUCGAUCACACCAAAUGGCUUGCCCCCGCAUGUGUUGAGAUUAAAGGUUAACUGCCCGGAACCUCGACCCUCAUAA
rnacentral:rRNA from 1 species